rnacentral:rRNA from 1 species
AGUGAACGCUGGCGGUAGGCCUAACACAUGCAAGUCGAACGGCAGCACAGUAAGAGCUUGCUCUUACGGGUGGCGAGUGGCGGACGGGUGAGGAAUACAUCGGAAUCUACUUUUUCGUGGGGGAUAACGUAGGGAAACUUACGCUAAUACCGCAUACGACCUACGGGUGAAAGCAGGGGAUCUUCGGACCUUGCGCGAUUCAAUGAGCCGAUGUCGGAUUAGCUAGUUGGCGGGGUAAAGGCCCACCAAGGCGACGAUCCGUAGCUGGUCUGAGAGGAUGAUCAGCCACACUGGAACUGAGACACGGUCCAGACUCCUACGGGAGGCAGCAGUGGGGAAUAUUGGACAAAGGGCGCAAGCCUGAUCCAGCCAUACCGCGUGGGUGAAGAAGGCCUUCGGGUUGUAAAGCCCUUUUGUUGGGAAAGAAAAGCAGCAGGUUAAUACCCCGCUGUUCUGACGGUACCCAAAGAAUAAGCACCGGCUAACUUCGUG